GGGGCCGUGGGGUAGCCUGGUAUCCUUCGGCCUUUGGGUGGCCGUAACCCCGGUUCGAAUCCGGGCGGCCCCA
rnacentral:tRNA from 1 species